CCCUUUGCCCCCACCCUUCUCUCUGGUGGCGCGAUGGUACGAACGGGGGAGGGUCACAUUCCUCAGUUUGUCCCUUUCUCCAAACUGUUACCGGGAGGGAAACAACUGAAAUCUCCUCCAUAGUCCAGGGAAUGGCUUUAUGUUCUUCUGGCCAAAUAGGGCGGAGGUCUGACUCCUGUCUGGAUGAAGAAUUCUGCUCAGCAAACAUUUCUGGAUCUGCAUGCAUUAGCUGAUGGAUGGAGCUAUCCAGCAACAUUUUGACCUCUCAACAUUUGAAUCAUUUUGUUCUCUGCAUGUGAUGCAGGUGACGUUUCUGAGGCACCUUCAUACUUUUCGAGGAGAUCAGAAGAGAUCAAAAUGUACUCAGAAAUGAACACUGAUGAUCCUCUGCAAUUUCCUGGUGUUAUCAGCUGGGGCUAGAAGAGAAAGCAUUACCAGUUGUGAUACUUGGACUAACAUUACAAUAAUCAGCAAAGCUGGCUCUACCUGUGCCUGAAGCUAGGAAAUUUCUAGCUGUCUUAGUUUUCACUGGGAAGGUAUUGUUUUCUUCAGACUGUCUGGUAUGUGGUAAGUUUUAGUUCUAGGAGAAAAAUGAUGUUGAUAACACACUGAUGUUUAUAUUUGCUGUGAAGCAGCGUUGUACAGUGCCAAGGCCAUUCUCAGCAAAGGGCCCAAGGAGCUGGGAGGGAACAGAAUUAGGAGAGCUAACCAAAACUGCCCAAAGGGAUAUUCCAUGCCAUAUGAUAUCAUGCAGAAGGAGUUUUGAGGUGGGUGGGAUUCAUUGGGCUCUCUUGCUGUUCAAGGGGCUAGCUGGGCAUAGGUCAGGGUGUGAUGAGAAAUUGCUUAUGCAUCACUUGUUAAAUAUAUAUAUUUGUCAUAAUUAUUAUCCUUUUUAUUUUCUCUAUCUUAGUAAAUAGUUUUAUC
rnacentral:lncRNA from 7 species